rnacentral:rRNA from 1 species
GACGAACGCUGGCGGCGUGCCUAAUACAUGCAAGUCGAGCGAAGUUUUUCUGGUGCUUGCACUAGAACAACUUAGCGGCGAACGGGUGAGUAACACGUAAAGAACCUGCCUCAUAGACUGGGACAACUAUUGGAAACGAUAGCUAAUACCGGAUAACAGUAUUUCUCGCAUGAGAGAUAUUUAAAAGUUGGUUAUGCUAACACUAUGAGAUGGCUUUGCGGUGCAUUAGCUAGUUGGUGGGGUAAAGGCCCACCAAGGCGACGAUGCAUAGCCGACCUGAGAGGGUGAUCGGCCACACUGGGACUGAGACACGGCCCAGACUCCUACGGGAGGCAGCAGUAGGGAAUCUUCCGCAAUGGGCGAAAGCCUGACGGAGCAGCGCCGCGUGAGUGAAGAAGGAUUUCGGUUCGUAAAGCUCUGUUGUUAGGGAAGAAUGGAUAUGUAGUAACUAUACAUGUAAGAGACGGUACCUAACCAGAAAGCCACGGCUAACUACGUG